GGGGGAGCUCCUGAAGCCCAGCUCCCGGAGAGGCCUCCACGUGCCCAGCCACGCCUUACCACAUGGGGUGGGGGGUGGGGGGCUCGGAGACGCCGGAAGGCCAGGCCUGUGGGAGCAGAGUGCCUGAGUGUCUGCAGAAAGGAUCCAGGCUCCAGGGGCCCGGCUGGCGCUCCGCCUCCGUGCAAGGGAGGGGCUGAGCCCAGAUCCUCUCCCCAGCUGUGGCCAGGCGGCCUGUGUCUCUCCAUCCUGUCUCCUUGGCUUCCCCCUGGGACCAGCAGGGGACCUCGGGCCAAGUGGUGCUUCCCCCCUGGAAGAAUCCCUGUUCGUGCCCCAGGUCCCAGCAGUGACAGAAGAGGGGUGCAGCUGACCAAAGGAGCCCUCCUAGUUCCGAGUACCUGGAGACAGACCCUGAAGGUGGGUUCGAGGAGGUGGGUGCUGGAGCCAGCUGUGAGGAAGCUACCUUCUCUUCAGGGAACCCUGAAAUCGGGAGAGUGUGCCUGGCCCAGGAAUCAGCCCGGCCAAAGCAUGACAUUCCCAGAGAAAUGCAGGGUUGGAGAAAUGGGGUUGGAGAAAGGCAGAUGAGGGGACAGGGAGGUUUGUGGGGCUGGAGGGAGAGACCUGGGAUCGAGGUUAUUUGUCUGGGCUGGGUGUCCUGUGGCUCUGGAGGGCCCUCUUUGGCCCCUGCCAGGGGCUGGUGGAGAGGCUGAGGUGUUCCUGACCCGGGGGAUCUACUCAGGGACAUCCCUGGGUGCUGGGCCAGGUGCUGGGGCUGCUGGCAAAGCCGUGCUGUGGCACUGAAGGGUCCUUGGCUCUGUUGAGUUCCAGCGGCGUGACCUUGGGUGCGUUAUUAACCUGCAUGGCCUCAGUUUCCUCCUUUGCAGAUGGAGCUAAAAGUCAUUGCCUAGGAGUCCGUUGGUGGAUGAAAUUAAUUAAUUAACAAUUUCGCUAAGCACCUGGGCCUCCUGCAUAUCCUGUUCGUUUGCAAGCGUUAUUCUUAGCCAAGGAAAAGAGAAAGCUGGGUCUCCUCCAAGGACACUUUGACAGGCCCUCCCAAGGGAAGCUGCCUGACUCCCAGCCCAGCUGGACCUGCUCUGUGCCCGGGAGCCACCCUCCCUGCCUGCCCUCUCCCGCUCUGUCAUGCUCCUGGGAUCAUCUGUGCGGCACCUGUGGUUUGGAUUUGUUACUGACCUGCAUGAGCGUGUAAUCCUUCUCUGUGUGGAUUCGCCCGAUUUUAUUUCAUCCUUUCUGCUCUCAGUGGAAUACUGGAGUCUCCAGGCUUCGCUGAGGACAUAGUGUUGCUGUGAACAAUGCCGUGAGGCUUUGGGGCCCACACGUGCCCCUUCUGUGGGCACAGGCCUCCCAGGGGCAUGGCCGGCAAAGUCUGCACGUGUUCUGAUUCAGCAGAGGGGUGAAGAGUUUUCCCAAGGGACUGUAGUGGUUCAUGUGCCCACUGGUUAUGGGUCCUGCAUCCCUGUGGACCACGGGCAUUUUCUGCUCUUUUCUUUUUUUGUGGGGUGGGGUGGGAGGAGGUUUGAGACAAUCUUGCUACAUAACCCAGGUUGGCCUUGAACUCGAAGAAAUCCUCCUGAGUCCUGGGAUUACAGAUGUGUGCCACUUGCCCUUUCCCUUCCUACCUGCUCUGUGCGUACAGAGUGCUACCAGCCAAUCUGCACUGCCUCGGGGACUAAAGAAGCCAAGUGCUUUUCAUGAGGUUUUUGCCAUCCUACUUUGAUCUGUUCAGCUCUUUUGCCUCCCUCCCCCCCCCCUCCCUUAUAUUUUUUUUUUUUUUUUUUUGCCUUUUUCAGAUUGAUUUGUGAGAGUUCUUUCACUAUUUGGAGCAGGUCUCUGCAGUGUGUGUUGUUACUAUUGCCUCCCACCUGUGGCUUUCCUUUUCGUUCCCCGUGCUAAAUGUUUUAGGUUGGUCUAGUUUAUCUUUUUUUUUUUUUGGUACUGGGGAUCAAUCUCGGGACCUUGCACUUGUGAGGCAGACAGCAGAACCACUAUGCUAAAUCCCCAGCCCUUGUUUACCUUUUUUUGUUAUUGUUGCAAUAUUGGGGAUCAAACCCAGGGAGCAUUGAACUAUAUUUGCAGCUCCCUUUUUUCAAAACAAUUAAAAAAUUUUUUUUUUUUUUGGUACUGGGGAUUGAACUCGAGUCCUUGUGCUUGUGCAGCAGGUGGUGAAACCACUGAGCUAAAUCUCUGGCCCCAAUUUUUAAAAUUUUGACAGUGUCUUGUUUAAUUGCUCAGGCUGGCCUUAAACUUGUGAUCCUCCUGCCUCAGCCUCCUGGGUAGCUGGCAUUAUUGGCAUGCAGCACUCAGCCUGACUGAUCUUUUUUUAUUUUUAAAAUUUUUUAUGGUUAGUACUUAUGUUUUUAGUUUAAAAAAACUUUAGCUAUUCCUAGGUCAUGAAGAUGUUGUCUUGUUCUUUCUUCUUUACAAUUUUCGUCUUCGACAAUGUGGUCUGGAAUUUCUCUUUUUUUUUUUUUUUUCUUUCGGUCUGGAAUUUCUUUCUGAUCCUGAUGUGAGGUCAGGGUUGUGAUAGACUGGGACACAGGCUCCAAAGAGAGGCAGGCGCUCAUGCCUAGAACCUGUGACUGUUACCUUACAUGGCAAAGUCUUUGCAGAUGCGAUUAAGUGAGGGAACCUGAGAUGGUGAGAUGAUCCUGGACUACCCAGACAGACCCUGAAUUCAGUCCCAUGUGUAGGAGGAAGUCGGGGAGGUUUCAUACACUCACUCACUUGCACACACACUGCCAUGUGGAGCUGGAGCAGAAAUCGAGCUUAAACUUCAGAUCAAUGUGGCAACAAACCAGGCAAAGCCAAAGCCUUCCAAAGCUGGAGGAGAGGAGCAAUGGGUUCUUCCUAGCUCUGGAGGGAAUUUGGCACUUCCGGUGCCUUCGUUUUGGGCUGGGAAUACUCACUUUUGACUUUUGUCCCUCAGAACUGGGAGGGAGUAGAGCUCUAUUGUUUUAAGUCACCAAACUGCUGGUAAUUUUUUACAAAAUCCUCAGGAAGCUAAAACCAGGGUCAGGUUACAGUUUUUUUCCUUGGACAUUCUCUUCAGCUGACCCAGCACCAACCCUGAAGGGCCACCCAGCCCCCACUGGCCUGUGCUGUCACUUUUGUCCCGAGUCAGGUGUGUGGGUGGCUGGGGU
rnacentral:lncRNA from 1 species